rnacentral:rRNA from 1 species
CCCUCCCCUAAAGUUCGGACCGCAGCGCGCUACACUGACAGAGCCAACGAGUUCAUUUCCUUAGCCGAAAGGUUUGGGUAAUCUUGUUAAACUCUGUCGUGCUGGGGAUAGAGCAUUGCAAUUAUUGCUCUUCAACGAGGAAUGCCUAGUAAGCGCAUGUCAUCAGCAUGCGUUGAUUACGUCCCUGCCCUUUGUACACACCGCCCGUCGCUACUACCGAUUGAAUGGCUCGGUGAGGCCUUCGGACUGGCCCAGGGAGGUCGGCAACGACCACCCAGGGCCGGAAAGUUGGUCAAACCCGGUCAUUUAGAGGAAGUAAAAGUCGUAACAAGGUCUCCGUAGGUGAACCUGCGGAGGGAUCAUUACAAGUGACCCCGGUCUAACCACCGGGAUGUUCAUAACCCUUUGUUGUCCGACUCUGUUGCCUCCGGGGCGACCCUGCCUUCGGGCGGGGGCUCCGGGUGGACACUUCAAACUCUUGCGUAACUUUGCAGUCUGAGUAAACUUAAUUAAUAAAUUAAAACUUUUAACAACGGAUCUCUUGGUUCUGGCAUCGAUGAAGAACGCAGCGAAAUGCGAUAAGUAAUGUGAAUUGCAGAAUUCAGUGAAUCAUCGAAUCUUUGAACGCACAUUGCGCCCCCUGGUAUUCCGGGGGGCAUGCCUGUUCGAGCGUCAUUUCACCACUCAAGCCUCGCUUGGUAUUGGGCAACGCGGUCCGCCGCGUGCCUCAAAUCGACCGGCUGGGUCUUCUGUCCCCUAAGCGUUGUGGAAAACUAUUCGCUAAAGGGUGCUCGGGAGGCUACGCCGUAAAACAAACCCAUUUCUAAGGGUGACCUCGGAUCAGGUAGGGGAUACCCGCUGAACUUAGCAUAUCAUAAGCGGAGGAAAAAAACCACAGGGAUGCUCUAGUAACGG